AUCAGAUUAUUUGAAUGGUUAAGCUGAUGCUCUGUGAGGUACAAUAGUUAGUAGCAUGUUGGAGUUCUGAUGGCA